rnacentral:tRNA from 1 species
GGAAGGCAAUCGUGCCCGGUGGCGCGGCCGGGCUUCAAACCCGGUGGGGGGGCGUCAGCCGCUCCCGGGUUGGUUCGACUCCAGCUGCUUUCCGCCA